GAAAAUCAAAGGGGUCUUUGUCUUUUCAUUCUGCCUGCGCUCAACAAUGAUUUAUUGUUGAAGACCUACUACAGACCCAGGGAUAAAUUAUACAGAGAAGGAGAACCUUGUUGCCAAAAAGUAUUGAGGAUAUAGUGAUUUGAGAUUCUUACCUUCAAAGAAGAGUUGAAGGAAUUGAAGAAAUGAUCUGGAAUUAUGGAUUUGAUUUUUGGAUGAACACUGAACUAUUGUAAGACUUGGUAGAGUUAGUUGACAAUCUGAGGCUUUCGUUCUCCCAUUCAUACAUGAAACUUUAGGUAAGAUGUACUAGAAACAAGCCAGAUACUAUUUCUAGUCCUGAAGUCAUCCUGAAAGGUAUCUUCAGAAUGGAUGUCAUUCUCAAUGAUAAUCACGUGAUUUGCUAAGAUUAGAAGAGGAAAUAAAUCAGCUAAGCAAGGCUUAUGUCAUUCAGAAGAGACCAAAGUGAAUAUCAAGAACAUUAUCAAGUGUCAAUCUAAGAAUCCUGUGGCAAAUCCAAGUUGAUCCACAAAUUCAUAAGGAACUGCAAGGGACUCUAAAUACACUGAGCAAUACUGAAAAAGAAAAAUAAAGUUGGAGUACUCACACUUCCCUAAAUUCAAAAUUUACCACAAAGCUACAGUAAUCAAAACAGUGUGGUACUGGCAUAAAAGUAGAUAUAUAGCCCAAUGGACUAGAAAUGAGAUUCCAGAAAUAAACCCAAACAUCUAUGGCCAAUUGAAUUACAACAAGAAUACUAAGAUAAUUAAAUGUAGAGACAAGAAUCAAAUAGACGCAAUAAAAAAUGAUAAAGGGGAUAUCACCACCGAUCCCACAGAAAUACAAACUACCAUCAGAGAAUACUAUAAACACCUCUAUGCAAAUAAACUAGAAAACCUGGAAGAAAUGGAUAAAUUCCUCAACACACACACCCUCCCAAGGCUAAACCAGGAAGAAGUAGAAUCUCUGAAUAGACCAAUAACAGGCUCUGAAAUUGAGACAAAUAAUAGCUUACCAACCAAAAAAAGUCCGGGA
rnacentral:lncRNA from 10 species